UCGUACAUCUGCACCACGGCGGCGUGCCGUUUUUCCU
rnacentral:scRNA from 1 species